rnacentral:rRNA from 1 species
GUCAAGAAGAGAAGCGCAAACGGUGGAUGCCUUGGCAGUAAGAGGCGAAGAAGGACGUGGAAUCCUGCGAAAAGCUAUGGGGAGCUGGAAACGAGCGUUGAGCCAUAGAUGUCCGAAUGGGGGAACCCGGCUGCAGCGAUGCGGUCAUUUGCAUUUGAAUACAUAGGAUGCAAAGGCGAACUCGGGGAACUGAAACAUCUAAGUACCCGAAGGAAAAGAAAUCAAGAGAGAUUCUCCAAGUAGCGGCGAGCGAACGGGGAGGAGCCUGGCGUGAUUUAUUAUUGAACUGAGUAGAACAAUUUGGGAAAGUUGGCCGAAGAGGGUGAAAGCCCCGUAUACGAAGGUUUGAUGAGGAACUAGGCACGCGAACAAGUAGGCCGGGACACGUGAAAUCCUGGUUGAAGAUGGGUGG